rnacentral:rRNA from 1 species
CCCUUAGAUGUCCGGGGCCGCACGCGCGCUACACUGAAGGAAUCAGCGUGGCUUUCUCCCUGACCCGAAAGGGUUGGGAAACCCGUUGAAUCUCCUUCGUGAUAGGGAUUGGGGCUUGAAAUUGUUCCCCAUGAACGAGGAAUUCCCAGUAAGCGCGAGUCAUAAGCUCGCGUUGAUUACGUCCCUGCCCUUUGUACACACCGCCCGUCGCUACUACCGAUUGAACGGUUUAGUGAGGGCCUCGGAUUGGUCUCGGCCCGCUCUUUACCGGGCGGCGCCGUUGGUGGAGAAGACGCUCGAACUUGAUCGUUUAGAGGAAGUAAAAGUCGUAACA